rnacentral:sRNA from 1 species
GCCAGGCGCAGUGGUGCAUGCCUGUAAUCCUACUGCUUGGGAGGCUGAAGCAGGAGGAUCACAAGUUCAAAGCCAGUCUCAGCAAAAAUGAGGCACUAAGCAACUCAUUGAUACCCUGUCUCUA